UGGAGAUGAUAGCUUUAUCAGCAACUCUGCUUUGCAAUGACUUCACAGCAAGGUUACCAGGAAGCAGAUGGGCUGUGAAGGAGACAAACCUUCUUGUCUAAACACAAAUAGCAUUGAUAAUUAAUUAGCUGAAGCAGCAGGGGAAAUUAUGAAAAUGUGUGAAAGGUAAAGAAAGCAGGACACAGCCCUCAGUGUAGGACUCUGGUCCCUUUCACCAUCUUAUCUGAAACAUCCUGUGUCUCUGCCUUCUUGGUAGAAGGCAUCAAGGGGGAGAUGAUGUAUAAUUACUUGUCUGGUAGGGUUUUAAAUUAUGUGAAUAACUGUCUAUCUGCAAGAAGAAUGUAGCCAUCUAUUCUUUCCUCAGUUGGUAGGCGAUAAGAACUUUGGGAAGUGAGAACCUUGAGAUGGUUAAAAUGAAUGACCUAGAGAUCAAAUGAUUUAUGUUCAUUAUCUGAUUUUCUCUGAGAAAAUGACUAAUUUCCCAAGCCUGCAAACAAAGAAAAUGAAAUAAACAACAAAUUUUACAGAAUCAAAGAGGAUACGUUCAGUGUGAGCCAACUGUCACAUCUUUAACCCUUCCAUCUGUGGGUGUGCAUUAGAAAAGGAGGAUACAAACCCAAGCCACAUCUAACUGUUUAGCUGAGCUAUGAGGAUGCCCUCCAAAUAUCAGUCACGAAGCAUUCGUGAAGUUCUUGCUCCCUCGCACCUGGUACCACCUGGCUUUUGUGGGGAUACAGACCAUGAAAGACCUGCCUUUGUCUUCAAGAGGUUUAUAAUAAAGAUGGGGAGAGGAAGCUCUCUUAGGUCACUCAUCCGAAGAAUAACAACAACAAAUGUGUUCCAAGAUACUAUUAAGAACUGAGAUGCAGUUAAAUGACCAUUGCAAGACCCAACAUCUGGGAAGGAGCAAAGCUAGUAUUUAGAGCUCAGUUCUGCCUCAUGAUAAACUUUGACUCUUCCCAUCAUGUUCUCACUCUAGUAGUUGUCAUCAUUCUCUUUGGCAACACUCUACCAUUGCUUCUUAUGUCCUAACACCUCUAUUGCAUGGAGACCAAAUGGAUCUACUUGGCAUCUCUGGAACACAUUGGACUAAAGCAUGUUUUCAUGUCUUGGCUUGUCCACUCAUCACCAUGAAAAACUUAGAAGAAAAACUGAAGGCUGCAAAGGUGAACUAGUUUGUCCCAGUGCACCCAUCCAGUGGAGGAGCAUUUCUAGAAGACUAUAUUAUUGCUUUUGUCUCAUAAGCAGUUUCUGACCGUGCUCAUUUAGUGCACAAAUGUUCUUUCAUGCUGUAAUCAUAAAAAGCAGUUUCAAACAGCCCUGGUCCACUCAUUUGCCCCAUUUUAAUCCAUCUCUCCCUUGGAAAACAUGCUGGUAUGUCAUAAAGCCCAAGUAAGCUUUCUCAACUGGGUCUUAAGAUUUAUUCAAGCUUUAAAUCAUUUUGAAGGUUAUAUGGAGAAAUACAGGCACCCUCUCUCUCCUCCACACACACACAUAAAAUAAAUGUUUUAACCAUGAGCGAAAAAUCUAGUUUAACUCAUUUCAAUAAAUACGGUUCUGGCGCCAUAUGCUAGAUGUUAGGGAUAAUAAGGCUGAACAAACAACACGGUCCCUGUUCUUUUAGGCUGGUUCACCGGGUUUCACACCUCACCUUGGGAAUUUGCUUUCCUUUAAUUAGUUUAAGUUAAUAAGACCAAAAUAAAUAUUUACUA